CUACGCGAGAAACCUUACCUGGGCUUGACAUGCAGGGAGUAGGAACCUGAAAGGGGGACGACCUGUUUUAGUCAGGAUCCUGCACAGGUGCUGCAUGGCUGUCGUCAGCUCGUGUCGUGAGAUGUUGGGUUAAGUCCCGCAACGAGCGCAACCAUUGUUCUUAGUUGCUAACUGAUUUCGAUCAGUGCACUCUAAGAAGACUGCCAGUAUUUAACUGGAGGAAGGAGGAGAUGACGUCAAGUCCGUAUGGCCCUUACGCCCAGGGCGACACACGUGCUACAAUGGCCGGUACAAAGGGUUGCGAGACCGCGAGGUGGAGCCAAUCCCAGAAAGCCGGCCUCAGUUCGGAUCGAAGGCUGCAAUUCGCCUUCGUGAAGUUGGAAUCGCUAGUAACCGCAGAUCAGCCAUGCUGCGGUGAAUACGUUCCCGGGUCUUGUACACACCGCCUGUCAAGUCACCUGAGUUGAGUGCACCCGAAGCCGUUAGCCUAACCCUCACGGGAGGGCGAUGUCGAAGGUGUGCUUGGCAAGGAGGACUAAGUCAUAACAAGGUAGUCGUACCGGAAGGUGCGUCUGGAUCACCUCCUU
rnacentral:rRNA from 1 species